CCUUCAGUGAUAGGCUGCUGCAACCUAGUGUGCUGUGUGGAUUGUGCAGUGCUGGAGGGUUUUCUCCGUGCUGCUGCUCCAGCCUAAGCUUGCGGUGGGUCCUGUGUGACAUCAUCAGUUGUUCUCUCAAAGCAUAGAGCAGCAAAAGUGACGAGAUUAAAGAACAAGAAAGCAGAAAGCUCUAGGUCCAACCUGGGGCUUGAACUCACGACUCUGAGAUCAAGAGUUGCAUAUUCUACCUACCAAGCCAGUCAGGUACCCAGACGAAUACUUUUGAUGGCAGAAUGAAAUGAGAAAAUUCCAGGCUGAAUUUGGAGAAGUUGAGUUGCUGGGAAUGCUUGAUGGAAUUGUCCAUGUAACCCCACAACCAGCUGUAGAGAGGUACAGAUCUGUGAUUCAACAGUAUUGCACAAUUCAUGGAGACUGACCUUUCUUCUACCAGCAGUUGAAGGUACCAGUGUGGAGCUGGGCAUAUCCAUACAUCUCCAGAGGAAAUCCAUCUGUAAGAAAAGAAUGUUUGAUAACUUCGUGUAUGAUUUUGUCUGCAGGGAGGCCCUAGAUAGGGCAUAAUCAUAAUGGAGUCAUAUGGGACAGGAGGUCUACCUAAUCAGUCAACUGUUAGAGCAAAACAAAUGAGAUACUGUUUCAUACUAGCCAAUAUUUACUAAAGACCUACCUACAUUUAAACCCUUGAAACAUCACAGGCAGGGUCAGUCUUAAUAUUUCAAUUUCAUGGAUGAAUAAACAAAGGGUUCAGAGAGGUGACAUAGUUGUUAAAAGACAGUACUGGGCUUUGCUUCCAGGUCUGUCUGGCCCCGUAUCACAUCCUUUUCCCAUUAUAUUACUCCUAUUGCUUCUCACUUUAAAAGCAAUAUAAAGAAGCUAUUUUAAGUAUAGACAAAGAGGUCAAUGGACCUCAGCCUCCCUGUAUAUUAAAGUGCAAAGAAAUAAACAGAAUAAUAACAACCAAAGAAUAUACUGUUACAGCCAGCAUCUCAAAAGAGAAACAUCCCAAGUGGGGCCCAAAGGGAUGACUUCAACUUUCUCAGAGUUAUUUCAUGAAUGUUCUUUUUAUAUUGAGCUGCUUUCAACUUUUUAAAGAAAGUAAUUAUAAUCGUGAUGGUGAUGAUGUUGAAACUUUACAUUUCUAACCAAAUCCAAUGAAAGCUUUGAAAUCAGCAUCGAUGUACGAGAAAUCUUGUAAUGGCUGGAAGGAACACAUGUCUACAAGUCUACUCCAAUUAUGUAACAAUAGCACCGAUGGGUACUCAGUGAUAAAUAUUCUGAAACAUGAAAUGAUAGGUAAAAUUCAAAAGACUUGCACAUGUCAUUUGUGCCAAAUAAAGUACCGAAACACAGAACGACUUCAUUCUUAAUUUAUUUCUAAAAAAAUCAUAUCUUGUUGCAAAGCUGACAUGGUUUUACAGUACCAUAAUAUCAUUACUUCACAAGCACAACCCAAGAAAAUGAUGAAUAGUAGGGCAGUCAAAUC